rnacentral:misc_RNA from 1 species
GCUGUGGAGUACGAAGCAGCCUGACCCCUAGCGUAUUCCCCGAGUGCGUUGAAGGUACCUUACAUCAUCACUUACGCGGAUAGACCUACUGAACGUUUCUCGCCCGGACUUAUCGAGGCACGAAAGGGCCCCAAAGACGCUCCGAAUAGCGCGAGAGCCACCGAAAUCACCCCUUUCCAAGCAACCGGGAGCUGAGUGAUUCCAGCAUGUCGAAGAGCAUAGGGUCGACGCGUCGUUUCCGGGAGUGAGCCCUGCGCUUGUGGUGAGCGAGGCGGGGCAGCGGUCUGGCCGGUGGCCGUAGUGCCGCCGCUUGCGUCACCUUCCCGGGCCCCUGUCCCGACGAUGCGGGCGUCCAUGCGAAUCGCUGGGCUGGCGGACGACUCGCACGGCCCCGGGUACUUUCCCCGCUGGUAAAAUCUUGCGAGACGUGGAUACCCUGAGCUGGGUACUCGUGAAGCGGUCUCCAAGCGAGUGCG